AACGAACGCUGGCGGCAUGCCUAACACAUGCAAGUCGAACGAGACCUUCGGGUCUAGUGGCGCACGGGUGCGUAACGCGUGGGAACCUGCCCUUAGGUUCGGAAUAACUCCCCGAAAGGGGUGCUAAUACCGGAUAAUGUCUUCGGACCAAAGAUUUAUCGCCUUUGGAUGGGCCCGCGUUGGAUUAGCUAGUUGGUAGGGUAAAAGCCUACCAAGGCGACGAUCCAUAGCUGGUCUGAGAGGAUGAUCAGCCACACUGGGACUGAGACACGGCCCAGACUCCUACGGGAGGCAGCAGUGGGGAAUAUUGGACACUGGGCGAAAGCCUGAUCCAGCAAUGCCGCGUGAGUGAUGAAGGCCUUAGGGUUGUAACGCUCUUUUACCCGGGAUGAUAAUGACAGUACCGGGAGAAUAAGCUCCGGCUAACUCCGUG
rnacentral:rRNA from 1 species